CCUGUGGCUCCGGAGGUCGAGGUCCUCUACGCCUCCUCCUGCUCCCACAACAUGGGUGACGACUCCGUCGAGCUCCUCUGCCUCAUCUCCGGCUUCUUCCCACCCGUCGUGGAGGUGGACUGGCUGGUGGACGGCAUCUCGGGGCUGCUGGUCUCCAGCGCCACGUUGCCGCAGCGGGACGCCGGGAGCGCCACCUACUCGGCCACCAGCAGGACCAAUGCCAGCCGCUCGGAGUGGUUGGAUGGGAAGACCUUCACCUGCCAGGUCAGACAUCCCGCCUCCGGCACCACCGUCCAGGACCACGUCCGCUUAUGUACAGGUGAGGACACGGGCGCGGCGCGGGGGCAGGAGGUGCCAGCGCUGGAGAAGGUUGGGUGA